GAUGAACGCUGGCGGCGUGCCUAAUACAUGCAGGUCGAGCGAACAGACGCGGAGCUUGCUCCUCUGACGUUAGCGGCGGGCGGGUGAGUAACACGUGGAUCACCUACCUAUAAGACUGGGAUAACUUCGAGAAACCGGAGCUAAUACCGGAUAAUAUCUUGAACCGCAUGGUUCAAUAGUGAAUGACGGUUUUUCUGUCACUUAUCGAUGGAUCUGAGCCGCAUUAGCUAGUCGGUAAGGUAACGGCUUACCAAGGCAACGAUGCGUAGCCGACCGGAGAGAGGGAUAGGCCACAUUGGAACGGAGACACGGUCCAGACUCCUAAGAGAGGCAGCAGUAGGGAAUCGGCGGCAACGGUCGAAAGUCUGACGGAGCAGGGCCGCGUGAGUGAUGAAGGCCUUCGGAGCGGAAAGCCCGGUUAUGAGUGAAGAACAAAUGUGGAAGGAACUAAGCACGGCUUGACGGUACCGGAUCAGAAAGCACCGGCUAACUACGUG
rnacentral:rRNA from 1 species